CCUACGGGAGGCAGCAGUGGGGAAUUUUGGACAAUGGGGGCAACCCUGAUCCAGCAAUGCCGCGUGUGUGAAGAAGGCCUUCGGGUUGUAAAGCACUUUUGUCCGGAAAGAAAACGUUCUGGUUAAUACCUGGGGCGGAUGACGGUACCGGAAGAAUAAGCACCGGCUAACUACGUGCCAGCAGCCGCGGUAAUACGUAGGGUGCGAGCGUUAAUCGGAAUUACUGGGCGUAAAGCGUGCGCAGGCGGUUUUGUAAGACAGGCGUGAAAUCCCCGAGCUCAACUUGGGAAUUGCGCUUGUGACUGCAAGGCUAGAGUAUGUCAGAGGGGGGUUAGAAUUCCACGUGUAGCAGUGAAAUGCGUAGAGAUGUGGAGGAAUACCGAUGGCGAAGGCAGCCCCCUGGGACGUCACUGACGCUCAUGCACGAAAGCGUGGGGAGCAAACAGGAUUAGAUACCCUGGUAGUCCACGCCCUAAACGAUGUCAACUAGUUGUUGGGGAUUCAUUUCUUCAGUAACGUAGCUAACGCGUGAAGUUGACCGCCUGGGGAGUACGGGUCGCAAGNUUAAAACCUUAAAGGAAUUGACGGCUGAGAGNGCGACGCGACGACGAGGGAGAGG
rnacentral:rRNA from 1 species